GCAACCUACCUUCAGCUGGGGAAUAGCCCCGAGAAAUCGGGAUUAAUACUCCAUAACAUCCUAUGAUUGCAUAGUCGAAGGAUUAAAGCUCCGGCGGUUGAAGAUGGGCAUGCGUGGCAUUAGCUAGUUGGUGAGGUAACGGCUCACCAAGGCGACGAUGCCUAGGGGUCCUGAGAGGGUUAACCCCCACACUGGUACUGAGACACGGACCAGACUCCUACGGGAGGCAGCAGUAAGGAAUAUUGGGCAAUGGACGCAAGUCUGACCCAGCCAUGCCGCGUGCAGGAUGACUGCCCUAUGGGUUGUAAACUGCUUUUGUACGGGAGAAAACCCUUCGAUUCGUUCGGAGGCUGAUGGUACCGUGCGAAUAAGCAUCGGCUAACUCCGUGCCAGCAGCCGCGGUAAUACGGAGGAUGCAAGCGUUAUCCGGAUUUAUUGGGUUUAAAGGGUGCGCAGGCGGAAUGAUAAGUCAGUGGUGAAAUCUCCCGGCUCAACCGGGAAACUGCCAUU
rnacentral:rRNA from 1 species